rnacentral:rRNA from 1 species
AUUGAACGCUGGCGGCAUGCUUUACACAUGCAAGUCGAACGGUAACAGACCGCGCGGUGCUGACGAGUAGCGAACGGGUGAGUAAUGCAUCGGAACGUGCCCAGUCGUGGGGGAUAACGCAGCGAAAGCUGCGCUAAUACCGCAUACGAUCUAUGGAUGAAGGCGGGGGAGCGUCAGGCCUCGCGCUAUUGGAGCGGCCGAUAUCUGAUUAGCUAGUUGGUGGGGUAAAGGCCCACCAAGGCGACGAUCUGUAGCUGGUCUGAGAGGACGAUCAGCCACACUGGGACUGAGACACGGCCCAGACUCCUACGGGAGGCAGCAGUGGGGAAUUUUGGACAAUGGGCGCAAGCCUGAUCCAGCAAUGCCGCGUGCAGGAUGAAGGCCUUCGGGUUGUAAACUGCUUUUGUACGGAACGAAAAGCCCUGGGUUAAUAACCUGGGGUAACGACGGUACCGUAAGAAUAAGCACCGGCUAACUACGUGCCAGCCGCCGCAGUAACAC